CACGGUAUCUGGAGUUGCCUCCUUCAAAUGGGAUCUCGAACGCUGAAUGUUGAACGCUUUUGGUUUUUCACUCACCCACACGAAGUGAUUUCACCCUCAGCUGAAGUUAAGCAAGCCCUGAAACUCCUGAGAAGUGUUAUGACGUCUUCAUGGGUGGAGUUUAAGCCUGUACAGAAACAUGGCUUUCAACUUUCUGUCAUAUCAUACUGGAUGUGGAAGCAAAAGUCUGGCUUUGAUCUUCAAACAGGUCUUGUGUCAGUGCGAGAUGAAAGCUGAAGGUGCAGAUACACUCCUAGAGGAAGCCACGUUUGACUAUCAGCUCUGGUUUUACAACAAUGCUUCUUAAAAUGUUUUUUAAAAUGCAUUUAAAGACAGAAACUCAUUUAGCUUAAAACAACAGUGUCAGAAAUGCCCUCCACUAAUAUUGGCACCCUUGGUGAAUAUGAGCAAAGGCAGCUGUGAAAAUAAAUCUGCAUUGUUUAUCCUUUUGAUCUUUUAUUCACAAAAUUCUAACCAUUCAUUGAAGUAAAACAAUUGAAAGAGAAGGAAAACUCACAUUAUGAAAUAAAUGUUUUUCUCCAAUGCAUGGUGGCCACAAAUAACCCUAGAAAUUCUUAUGAGUAAAUUAUCUCUGAAAUAUAUUCACAUUUAAGGUUUUUUUUUUAGCACACCAGGGUGACUAAGAGCAUGAAAUUGUCCAGGAAUGACUUCCUGUUCCACAGGAGUACAAAUAUGUGUAAACACAAAGGCCAAAUUCCCUUAAUCAUUAAUCACAAAGAGAAAAACCAAAGAAUAUAGUUCUGAUGUGCAGCAAAUAUUGUUGAGCUUCACAGAAAUAGAAAGUGGCUGUAAGAAAAUAGCUAAAGCAUUGAGAAAAAAAAAAAAAAAACAUUCCCACCAUCAGGGAAAUAAUUAAGAAGUUCCAAUCAACUGAAGAUGUUACAAAUAAGAGGACGUGUGUCAAUUGAGAGGAAAAAAAAGUCAGAAUUGUGAGAAGUUAUAGUAUAGAGUUAUAUUCAGAAUUGCAAGUUAUAAAGUCAGAAUUGCGAGAAAGUUGCAAUUCUGAGUUCUCACAAUUGCUAGUUAUCACGCAAUUCUGACUUUAUAACUUGCAAUUCUGAGAAAAAAAAACAUUUUUUUCCCCUCACAAUUGGACAUAACACAGAACUGAGUUUAUAUCUCACAAUUCUGACUUUAUAUCAUGACUUUAUAUCAUGACUUUAUAUCUUGCAAUUCUGACUCUCACAAUUCUCACUUUAUAUCACGCAAUUCUGACUUUAUAUCUGCAAUUCUGACUAUAUCUCGCAUUUUUUUCUUUUGUCAAGUCAAUUUCAACAAUUAAUGUGGUUCAGAUAACAUAAUAUUUUGAGUUUCUGUUGAUUAAACCAAUCUCUCCCAUUGUAUUAACUUAAAUUUUUAAUUUCAAAAUUAAGGCAACCAGGUAACUUACUUUUUUAAGUUAAACCAGCAGUUCUUUUUUACAGUGUAGUAAUAACUAGAAAUUAUGCAUAAUUACAUGCAAAUAAUCCUAACCUUAACCCUAUAGUAAGUACAUGCAGUAAGUUAUUAUUACUCAGUAGUUAAAUGUUAAAUUUUAACUAAUGUUAACUAAUGGGACAGUUAUUGCAAAGUGUUACAAAAAAUCCUAUUAAAUUUGGAUUCUAUUUCUGAUGGCAUAUAACUUUAUAAUACUAGAAAAAUGUGUUUUGUGUAAAUAGCUACCUGACUUUUCCUCAGGGCUCUGUACUGACCUGAGAAAAGCCAUUUUCAUAUAACAAAGUGAAGGAAGUGCCUCCAAAUCCAGUUUCAUGUGGCAAUAACCUGGCCACAUACUGUAUAACUAUAGCUCUGACUGGAAGACAUAAAAUAAUCAGGUUUGUUAGGUUCGGGUAAAAGGAUGUUUCUUUUUAUUUCCUCCAAGUACAUGCUGUGGUUUGAAAGUUCAUAUAUGCUGGACACUAAGAUGACCAAUGGAGGUAAAUGAAAAAAAGAAACACAAAUAGCCUUUUACUCAAAUAUUUUCAGGGUUGUUUUUAGCACGUUGCUAUUGUGUUUCUAGGCGAUUGUUCUUUUGCAUAUCACUGCCUCAAAUCAAAAGAAAAACACAAGAAAAGAUGAACACUUUGAAUUUUUAUUGCACACUACCCUGUAUGUCCUCUGAAACUCUGUACAGCAGUUUGUUCAGGGUCAUUUAAAGAGAAGAAGCCUUAAAUAGGCUCGUUUUAGCUUCCGUUUUAGGAGCACACGUCUAUAUUCGAACUUUUUUGUUACAUUUUGAUAAGUUGUAAAGCAGCCCAGUGUUUUCGAACAGAGGGUUUUAUACAUUCACAGUAAAGCCACUGAAUGUUGAAUCACAGCUUUGAUGAAAUAUAAGGCACAAUGUUAUGCUAUAAAUGGUAAUAUCGACAGCAUGUGGUAGCAAUUUACAUAAUACUGCACAAUUAUGCCUCUUUAAGCCUUGAUGAAUACUUUACAGUGAUUUACUUCCAUAAUAUUUUCAUGGUUUUACAUUUUAGAAUGAUUCAUAUGUUUCUAUUGCUGAACAUACUGGAUCAUGUUAAUUACAAGCCUGUCAGUACAUGGAAAUAAUGUUUGCAAACUAAAGCUUAAACAUGCAUUUCUUCAGCAUCAGAAUGUCCUGAACUGUGCAAACAUGCCUGUAAACAAUAUAUACACAUGCGAUUCAAAAUAAUAGUAACAUAAUUUGGGAAAAUCGGAAAGGUUAUGAGUUCAGCAGGAUCACUUUUGAAUUUGCAGUUGUUUUUGUUUUGCUCUGUUGGUCCAUUGAAUCAAUACAAAAAUAUUUAGAUGCUCAAAUUCAUUUUGAACUAUAGGUUUUGAUGGCAUGGCCAACUUUAAGAUGACAGACUUUAUUCACAACUAAAAGGUUUAAAACAGUAGAAUAAUCUGCUCUAGAAACAAUCUCAGCAAUAACAGGCAGUAAUAUAACAUUAUAGGUAAAAAUAUCUAUCCAUUCA